GCACGUGCGCUCCACACGAGCUGUAGCGCUGCGAAGGGAGCUGUGAGAAGGCAGCGCGUGGAGAGAGACGACUAGAGCUUUCCACAUAUUGGACUUCAACCACCACUUACCCUUCAGGGAUGAAGGCAAUUGGAGUUCAACACCAAGACAACGCCAAGUGGUGGAAUGUGCCGACUAGAGCUUUCCACAUAUUGGACUUCAACCACCACUUACCCUUCAGGGAUGAAGGCAAUUGGAGUUCAACACCAAGACAACGCCAAGUGGUGGAAUGUGCCGGUAAGUGUGGUAGUUCUGUCAGCUUUAGAUUUUAAGAAAUCUGGUUCUUGACUGUGGUCAGUGG